GGGCAGCAAGACGGGGCUUGUGCGAGUGUCAGCGUGUUCGGGGGGUGCGUGACCGUGGAUGCGUGUCUGCUGGUGGCCGUGCGUGUCGGGUGGGGGCGUGGGUGCGCAGGAUACGCGCGUUUCGGGCGGUGCCAGGAGGUGCCUGAUCCCUUCGGGAAUGGGGGCCCCGGGGGGAUAGUCCCGCGCCCCAUGUCGUGCCCUAAAAGAGGGGGAGAUAAUCCUGCGGGAGGGCAGCGGGGAGAGCCUGCGCGCAGAUGGGAGCGGAACCUCUAAAGUGAUUAGCUCUUCUAGCAUUGCAUUUUUGACGCACAUGGUUAAGAGCGCUUGGCGCCAGCUUGGUGAAGUCCCUGUAGUAACCAGCGUCUAGGAUCGCUUUGCUUUCACCAAAAUAUCUCCCCUUUGGUCGGGGGUGGGGGUGGAAAGGAGGAGGGAGGAAAGGAAGCGGGAGUAAUGCAUUCAAAGAAGAUGUGGGGAAAAGACAAGGGCGGGGGUGGGGGGGAGCGUGUAUUUCAAGGAACCAAGAGCUUAGCAGCCCGCGCAGCGCUUGCCUCGGCUGCGCAGCGGAGGGAGCGAGACUUUCUUGAGAGCUCUGCUCGGCACUGGGGCCAGAGCUCCCGCCUCCAGCCACAGCGGGAACCCCAGAACCUUCCCGUUAAGAAACCCACAACAAACGCCCGAAAAAGCUGUUGUUUGUUGGUGGAACGGCUCGGAGAAACUUGGCCGCAGUUUGCCCGAAGCAGGCCGCAGCUGUCUGCCAGGGACCGGGAGGUGCCCGCGGGCUCUCGCAGGACAAGCGCAGCCGCUCCCAGCGCCGCCUCGCCCCGCUCCCCGUGCCCGCCCCUCCGGUACGCGCCCUCGGGGCCACGGUGGAGGCCGGAGCCGUUGGUGCCCUCCGCGCCCGCCCCGCACCUUGCGCAGCGCUCGGCACCCACCCGCGCGGCGGCCCGCGGAGGGAAAUCAAGCGUUUGCCGCUUAUGAUUUUCAAUGUCAGCGUCUGGCUAAUGGCGUGCAAACUUCCGCCAGUUCCGAGUGACCUCCCCGACGAAGCCCCCUGGAGACUCGUAUUAUGAAGGGAGGCUGCACUAAUCUAAGAUCAAAAGCGGGAAGGUGCGAACAGUCUUUGUCUCCCUUCGGCCGCCUCAUUCCCCCUCCUGUGUGUGAUAAAUCUACCCUGGCGCCGACUGCGCGCUGGAUGAUUAAUUUGCAAGCAAACAAAAGGGGACCUGAUGGCCAGCCAUCUUAGUUAAAUAUUGGCCAGUGCUUCCAGCUACUUGUUAGCCGCCUCUUUGCCAGAAAUAAAUAAAUAAGUGACGCGCGGAAAUAAAUAUAUAAGAAGGCCUGCAAAAACGAAGAGCGAGAGGGGGAGGAAAGAGAGCCGGAGGAAAAACAGAGCGGCCCUGGUUGCUGAGCGGGUGGGAGAGCUCCGCUUGCUCAGAUUUCGCCCUCCUAAGCAACUUUUUAGCGUUUGCACGAGAGAUCGGGGCGUGCGGCAAGCCUCCCCCGGUGGCCCGAAGAGCCAGCUGGAGGGAGAAGGCAGGAGGGAAAGAAUGGCAGCGCGACUGCGGAGCCUACACGUCCUCUCCCAAGCCUGCAGGAGCCGCUCCAAGGCGUGCGUGCGUGCUGCGAGCCCCGUGUGCGUGUGCAGGGGAGGCUGCGUGGGUGUGCGCGCCCCGGGGAGGAGGGAGCCGUGCGCUGGGUUCACCGCAAAUCCGUGAUCCAGCAGCGAAAGCCGGGGAGUCCCCUUGCACCCCAUGCGUGCCGGGCUGACAGCGGUGCUCGUGGGUUCUGUGCAGGAGGGAGCAAGGCCAGCAGACCCGCGCACCGCGCUAGUGGGACUUUCCAACCUCUCGAUGCCUUUCCUUACGGCACUGCAGGUCCGAGCAUCCCUCCUCCCAGGCACCUCCAUCACGUCCAGCCACAGCCUCCGCUCAGCCCCCAGCCCUCGGAAGGCAAUUCAGCCGCGGCCGGGCUAUGUUUAUCCAAAAUAAAAUGCAGUGGGCUCGUUUA